ACAUCAAAUUUCAUAAGCUUUAUUUCCACACACUAAGAUGGCAACUUGGAAAUCGUUUGUGAUAGCUAUCUUUGUCAUCGCUUCAUUACUUUCAAGCACACAUUCAGCUUUCGCCGCCCCUCGAAAACUCUUAGCCCCUACCUUUCCUCGUUAUAAGCUGCCCAAGAUCCCUAACCUGAAGCUUCCUCCUCUGACCUCCACACCUUUAUGGCCAGAAUAUAGGUUGCCUCCCCCUAUUAUUACUUCACUUCCAAAUUUCCCAUCAACUCCCAUAUUUCCGUUCUCUCCACCUUCAAUAACCACCACCCCUUAAUAAAAAUGGUGUAUACAUACACGACUCUGAUGAAUAUCUCAGAAGUUCUCUAUGCAAGCCAUCAGUUCUUUAUUAAAUAAAGGUUGUGCAUCGACAUUGUUGAAAUAAUAUAUGUGCAUCGAUAUUAUUGAAAAUGUAUCGAUAACAUGUCAGUACGUUUUGUUGGCGACAAUUAUAUCAGCAUAUUCUCAGUGGCAUAUUGACGGUUUCCGUUUCCCGGCCGGACAGUAAUAUUUGUGGUACUACUAUAUCUAUAUGUAGUUAAAUAAAGGUUCAUAAUCACAUAUGGUAUGGGCCUUUCAUAUGGUGUUGCAUACCUAGAUGCAAGAUCUAUUUUAGGGAUUUCUGGAGAACUGUAUGGACCACUCGUGUGUUUACCAAUAUCGUUUUGUCCUAUUAUUUGUAGUAUUGCUAUGAGAGUGAGAAUAUUACUACUUCGUUCGUUCUUGUUGAAUUGUUGGGAUAUAAUUCCUACUAGCUACUAUUACUUAUUAUGCUCGUUUUAUGUAUGUAUGGAUUUAUCUAAUUUACAACAUUAAUGCUUAGGAUUAUUAUGGAGGGUAUGAGAGGGAUGCUCAUUAUACUACCACAAAGAGAAAGGCAUGCCUUGCAAUUUGG
rnacentral:lncRNA from 1 species